CCUACGGGAGGCAGCAGUGAGGAAUAUUGGUCAAUGGGCGCGAGCCUGAACCAGCCAAGUCGCGUGAGGGAUGAAGGUUCUAUGGAUCGUAAACCUCUUUUAUAAGGGAAUAAAGUGUGGGACGUGUCCUAUUUUGUAUGUACCUUAUGAAUAAGGAUCGGCUAACUCCGUGCCAGCAGCCGCGGUAAUACGGAGGAUCCGAGCUAUAUACGGAUUUAUUGGGUUUAAAGGGUGCGGAGGCGGCCUUUUAAGUCAGCGGUGAAAGUCUGUGGUUCAACCAUAGAAUUGCCGUUGAAACUGGGUGCUUGAUUAUGUUUGAGGCAGGCGGAAUGCGUGGGGUAGCGGUGAAAGGCUGAGAUGGCACGCAGAACCCCGAGUGCGAAGGCAGCCUGCCAAGCCAUGACUGACGCUGAUGCACGAAAGCGUGGGGAUCAAACAGGAUUAGAUACCCUUGUAGUC
rnacentral:rRNA from 1 species